GUCAUGCGACAGAGAAGUCACGUUCUAUAGACAGUUUCUAUAGACAGUUGUGAACGUGCUGACAGCUGGUUGCCCAGGCUAUGGAUUAAAGGGCCAGCAGAGCUGCUGACGGCCCACCGCUGCUGUCAGACAACAUCUCCAAGAUGCUAUAAACUGCAGGACCAGAUGUCAAUCCCAAGGUUUCUAGAGAUUACACCAGCUCCAGACUGAAUCCAAACUCACUUUUGAAGACUUCAGAUGACACCAACGCUCAGAAAGACUACAGACAACAACUGUACAUGAACACACAAAACAUUGGACACACA